rnacentral:rRNA from 1 species
AUACGGAGGGUGCAAGCGUUGUUCGGAUUUAUUGGGCGUAAAGCGAGUGUAGGCGGUUUGACAAGUCGAAUGUGAAAUCCCGAGGCCCAACCUCGGAACUGCAUCCGAAACUGUCAGGCUAGAGUCCCGGAGAGGGUGGCGGAAUUCCCGGUGUAGCGGUGAAAUGCGUAGAUAUCGGGAAGAACACCUGUGGCGAAGGCGGCCACCUGGACGGUGACUGACGCUCAGACUCGAAAGCGUGGGGAGCAAACAGGAUUAGAUACCCGAGUAGUCC